rnacentral:rRNA from 1 species
CACGUAGGGCGCAAGCGUUUGUCCGGAAUUAUUGGGCGUAAAGAGCUCGUAGGUGGUUUGUUACGUCUGCUGUGAAAUCCUAGGGCUUAACCCUGGGCUUGCAGUGGGUACGGGCAGACUAGAGUGCGGUAGGGGUGACUGGAAUUCCUGGUGUAGCGGUGGAAUGCGCAGAUAGUCAGGAGGAACACCGAUGGCGAAGGCAGGUCACUGGGCCGCAACUGACGCUGAGGAGCGGAAAGCAUGGGGAGCGAACAGG